GGCGAAGUGGCCGAGUGGUCUAUGGCGCUAGCUUCAGGUGCUAGUCUACGUAUGUGGGCGUGGGUUCGAACCCCACCUUCGUCA